rnacentral:rRNA from 1 species
UACGGAGGGUGCAAGCGUUAGUCGGAAUUACUGGGCGUAAAGGGCGCGUAGGCGGGGAUGUAAGUCAGAUGUGAAAAACUGAAGCUCAACUUCAGCAGUGCAUCUGAAACUGUAUUUCUAGAGGGAUAGCGGAGAGAACGGAAUUCCACGUGUAGCGGUGAAAUGCGUAGAUAUGUGGAAGAACACCUGUGGCGAAAGCAGUUUUCUAGCUUAAACCUGACGCUGAGGCACGAAAGCAAGGGGAGCAAACAGG